AGAGUUUGAUCCUGGCUCAGGAUAAACGCUAGCUACAGGCUUAACACAUGCAAGUCGAGGGGCAGCAUGAACUUAGCUUGCUAAGUUUGAUGGCGACCGGCGCACGGGUGAGUAACACGUAUCCAACCUGCCGAUGACUCGGGGAUAGCCUUUCGAAAGAAAGAUUAAUACCCGAUGGCAUAGUUCUUCCGCAUGGUGGAACUAUUAAAGAAUUUCGGUCAUCGGUGGGGAUGCGUUCCAUUAGGUUGUUGGCGGGG
rnacentral:rRNA from 1 species